GAUGAACGCUGACAGAAUGCUUAACACAUGCAAGUCAACUGUGGCGGACGGGUGAGUAACGCGUAAAGAACUUGCCUCACAGCUAGGGACAACAUUUGGAAACGAAUGCUAAUACCUGAUACUGUGAGAGAGCUUUGCGUCCCAUUAGCUAGUUGGAGAGGUAACGGCUCACCAAGGCGAUGAUGGGUAGCCGGCCUGAGAGGGUGAUCGGCCAAAAGGGGACUGAGACACGGCCCUUACUCCUACGGGAGGCAGCAGGGGGGAAUAUUGGACAAUGGACCAAAGUCUGAUCCAGCAAUUCGGUGUGAACGAUGAAGUUUUUGGAAAGUAAAGUGCUUUGAGUUGGGAAGCGGUACCAACAGAAGAAGGGACGGCUAAAUACGUGCCAGCAGCCGCGGUAAUA
rnacentral:rRNA from 1 species